rnacentral:misc_RNA from 1 species
UACGGAGGGUGCGAACGUUGUUCGGAUUCACUGGGCGUAAAGGGUCCGUAGGCGGCCCGGCAAAUCGGUUGUGAAAUUCCGACGCUUACCGUCGGAAUGGCUGCCGAAAAUACCGGGCUCGAGGUCGUCAGGGGCAAGUGGAACUCCUGGUGGAGCGGUGAAAUGCGUAGAUAUCAGGAGGAACGCCGGAGGCGAAAGCGACUUGCUGGGGCGAUUCUGACGCUGAGGGACGAAAGCUAGGGGAGCAAACAGG